CCUACGGGUGGCAGCAGUGAGGAAUAUUGGUCAAUGGGCGGAAGCCUGAACCAGCCAAGUAGCGUGCAGGAUGACGGCCCUACGGGUUGUAAACUGCUUUUAUACGGGAAUAACGCGCCUUACGUGUAGGGCUUUGCAUGUACCGUAUGAAUAAGGACCGGCUAAUUCCGGGCCAGCAGCCGCGGUAAUCCGGAAGGUCCGGGCGUUAUCCGGAUUUAUUGGGUUUAAAGGGAGCGUCGGCCGCAUGUCAAGCGUGCUGUGAAAGGUCCGGGCUCAACCCGGGCCUUGGAGCGCGAACUGGCUUGCUUGAGUCCGCGGAAAGCAGGCGGAAUUCGUCGUUUAGCGGUGAAAUGCUUAGAUAUGACGAAGAACCCCGAUUGCGAAGGCAGCUUGCUGCAGCGGAACUGACGCUGAUGCUCGAAAGCGCGGGUAUCGAACAGGAUUAGAUACCCGAGUAGUC
rnacentral:rRNA from 1 species